UACAGAGGUGGCAAGCGUUGUUCGGAAUUACUGGGCGUAAAGGGUGCGUAGGCGGCUUGGUCAGUCCCGUGUGAAAUCCCUCGGCUCAACUGAGGAACUGCACGGGAAACUGCCUGGCUUGAGUUCGGGAGAGGGAAGCGGAAUUCCGGGUGUAGCGGUGAAAUGUGUAGAUAUCCGGAGGAACACCGGUGGCGAAGGCGGCUUCCUGGACCGACACUGACGCUGAGGCGCGAAAGCUAGGGGAGCAAACGGG
rnacentral:rRNA from 1 species